GCUCCAUUCUAGUAUCCCAGCAUCAUGACCUGAGCUGAAGGCCACAGCUUAACCAAUUGAGCCACCCAGGUGCCCCACUUUCCAUUAUUUUUGUAGCAAAAUCCUUUCAGAUAUAAAAUACUAUAAAACUACUAUAUACCAAGGUGUAGAUGGCUGAUAAACAGUUUUCUUAGUAUAUUCCUAUAUGUCAAUGCAAGGCAAUAUUUUAAUCAAAAGAAAUUAUCUUGAAGGGAGGGCAAUAAUAUAAGAAGUUUGUAUUUGAAUGUGGGAGAAAUUUUGUGGAGGUAAGAUAUUCCAAGAUACCAUUUAACUAGAAGUGACCAUUUACUGAUAAAUAAUCCUGCUCUUAAGGAAUAGUAAUCUCUGCAUUUUUUUCUCCCUCCCUAUUCUUUUUGGUAAAGGUAAAUGAUGUGACGUGAGAAGGAAGAAUCAUUCCUUUUCCUGUUUUACUCUCUGAUCUGAACAUAUUAUCUAGAAGAAGUUUGACCUCCGUAUCCAGGGUUGUGUGAGCCAAUUGUAAGUUUCACUGGUUUGUUUGACCUCAUGACUGGGGGAGAUAAAAGUGAAAGAGAUCCAAACAUUUUCACAAAAGUGGCAGCACCACAAAGAAAUUUCAAAUGUGGCUGGGGAAAGGUAUGAGCAAACCACCAAAGUUGUUGUAAAUUCCAUUUUCCCUGUCAUCCAAAUAGGAGCAUCAGAUACCAGGGACGGAGAAAGGAGGUAUAAGAAAACACCGGAGCAGUGUUAGACAUAAAAGAUGUUGCAUAUCAUUUGAAAACUUGUGUAAGGCUACAUGUUACUUGCUAUUCCUUCUCUGCAGUGGAUUUCGAAGAACUAUACAUCCAUCGUCUCUUUGGGUCUGUCCAAAAUCUGGGUGUUUUAAUGAUCACUAUCUUGAGGUGGAUUAAAAUAACAUGAACAGGCAAAUUCCGAAAGCCCCAGCAUGUUCAGCAGUGGGAAGGUAAGAACAAAGUGUAAAUUGUUCCUAGGUCAUUUGUCUUAUAAUGUAAAAGAAUUUGGGCAAAGC
rnacentral:lncRNA from 12 species